UCUCAACUGUGCUUGGACCAUUAGACUAUCCAGGAAUGAAGAAGAGGAAGGGAAAGAAAAAGAAAGGUUUUGAGGACACGGCUGUAGAUAAUGUGCUAGGCAUGACUUCACUUUCAACUUGAGACACUAUCGUUGGUUGGUAAACAUGUUCUCAGUAUGUGGGAAUGGGAGACAAUGAAAAAAAAGUGGGUAGAAAAAGGGGCAAUCAUUUCACAGCGAGGCUGUCCCCACCUCCCACACAUCAUACAGUUGCUCUAUACUGUUUAUCCUGUUCCUCACAUCCUCUGUAGUGCCCUGGGUAGAGCAUGAUUUAUAAAAUGUGUAGAAUAAACUGGGCACUUUCAAAUAAAAGCAAUGGCGAGCCUAUGCUUACAAUUCCCCAUGCAUGGAAGCCUUAGUGUGGUUUCUGUUUGCUUUACAAGCUGCAUGCUAUGCAGUUGGCUGGCAUCUGGCACGUCCGUUGGUGAAGCACACAAGCGGCUCUACUUCCUUAUUUCCCACAGGCAGUAUUUAUAAUGGCAAGACUGUGUGUCCAGAAUUCAAGCUAAGAAAAUAGGGCGAAAAAAAAUCAUGAGCUGAGUGCUAUAGCCUUAGACUUUAUUGAGAUCAAAAGGUACGACGCACAGACCUUAGGAUGCCUCUAUCAGCCCAGCCAUGUUGAGCAACGUCACAUGGCAAGGACUGCCGGUAACUUUCAGAAGUUGAGGGUUAGCAUCUGGCCGAGCGUCAGCAAACACCGACGCUCUUAGUUCAACCAUAAGGAACUGAAGGCCGCCCCUUCCAUAGUCUCCACGUGGGAACACAGCCCUGGCUGAUACUUGGCAGUCAUAGAAACCGUAAGGCAGGGAAGCCACGUUUAAUCCACAGAAACAGAUUUAUCCCUUUUGUUACAAGGAUGGCUCCAACCAUAAUUGAAAGAUGACUAUCAGCAAAAAAAGGGGACUUUUCUUCAUACUCACUUAAGUGGAGGACAAAGAAUGUUAUCCUAUCUCUCUUAUUUAAGAAAAAAUAGAAUUUUCUUCAGAAAAGUUUGGCAUUCCACCCCUGCAGCAGCCCAUUCCAGGAGAAUCACUGAUAGGAGGGAAGGUAUUUUCUUUAAGCAAUCCAAUUCUGCCCUUGAUUUGAAGUCAAUUAUAGAAACUAAUUAGGGGAGAGGUAAGUCAAUCACAGUGUUCAAUACACUUCAUUUUUCAAUUUUAAAAUGAAGAAGAUGGAUUAAAUGAUUGGUAAAAUCCUUUCUAUGUUCACUAUUCUAUCAGAUCAGCCAUUCUUAACCAUUUACAACACCUCAGAAUAAUUAAGAAAAAGGCUACAUGUAAUUAGUAAGACACCAAAGAGUUAUGUAUAGUUGUACAUGUAUAACAUAUUUGUGCUUUUUUGGUAGCACAUUAUGUAACAGUAACUACUGAAAACUUUGAAGUAGUGGUAAGAGUAAACAAUAGUUUAAGAUCUCUAUUGUGAUCUCAGACAUUGCUAAUUUUUGCCUACAUGAAUAAUUGCAGAAAAUUACAAAUUUCAGUUAGAAUUUAGUGGAAAUAAAGACUAACAACCUCCUACUAUCCAUGGACCUCUUGGUACUCAUGGACCCCAAAGUGAGAACUGCUGUCAUAGAGCAUUCUUUUAGGCUAUCAAGAAAAAGUCCUAUCAUGGAGGGUCAGUCGUAAUUCUCUUAACAGCAUUUACCACAAUUUUCCCAUGCUAUAAUGAUAGCAGUAUGUGGUACAGUUUCAUAACUAGAGUGUGAUCCCUUUAAAAGAGAGAGCCAUAUCAUCUACAUUUUUUACUUAUUUACAGCAUUAUUCUUAAAACUGCUUCUGCAGUAAAAUCACAUUGGGAGAUUUAAAAAAUUCAGAUGUUCCCACCUACCUCUGAAUCAGAAUAUCUGCAUAGGGACCUAGGAAUCUGUGUUUAUGAAAGCUUCCAGGAUUAUUCUGAUGCACUUAGCUUUCACCAAGUUAAUGAUUCACAUUACGGAAGCAGUGUCAUUUAACACCUGGCAUAAUGCUUUGCACAAAUUACAUCUUCAGUAAAUGGGUUAGGGAUUUGAAUGAGAGAAGCUAGACCAUAUAAAAGGAGUUCACAUUUAGAAACACUGCUAAAAAACCCUCUCAUUCAAAUAUGACAUAAAAAUGUCCUCAAUAAACAGUUUCAUUUCUAAGUUAUUUUUAAUAAAAGAAUUAUAUUUGAAGGCACAGUCCAUGGCUCUUAUAUAAGAAUUUUGGAGGGGAUUCUCAAGAUGGUGGCAUGAGUAGGGUGGUGGAAAUCU